UCACUUACCUGGUGGAGGGCCAUGAAGGUGGUCUUCCCAGGGCGAGGCCCAUCCAUUACAUUCCAGAUAUGCUGACCCCUGUUAUUCCUUCAAAUGCAGGAAAGCCCACUGCAUUGUUUGUGGUAGUGUUUGUGCUUUUCUCUACU
rnacentral:snRNA from 1 species